rnacentral:Y_RNA from 1 species
GGCUUGUCUGGUGGUAGUGGGUUAUCAAUACUGACAUUAGUGUCACUAAAGUUGUACACAAAUCCCCAGUGCUAAAUUUAACUGACUUUAU